GUAACCUUGGUCAAAAAGAAGUCAGAUUUUUGGUUAGUGUAAUAUCUAAACAAGGGUGUCAGCCUGACCCAAAGAACCUGGAAGGUAUAAAUGGUAUGAAAGAUCCCCAAAAUGUAAAGGAUGUUAAAAGAUUGUUAGGGAUGGUAGGUUUUUAUAGACAUCACAUAGAAAACUUUGCUAAAAUAGCAAUACCCUUAACAAAUGUCACUAAGGAAGAAGGUAAAUUUAUUUGGAAGGAUCAGUGCGAGGUUGCUUGUCACAAACUAAAAGAAGCACUGAUGUCAUCAGCUAUUCUUGUGAAGGCAGAUGUUGGAAAACCACUGACCAUGACAACAGAUGCCAGCAAUUAUGCAGUUGGAUGAGUUCUAAGGCAGGUACAAGCAGACGGUGAAUUAGGUGUAAUUGGUUAUUUCAUGAAAAAAAGUAAACCAGGCAGAGGUAAACUAUUCAGCUACAGGUAAAGAGGCUUAAGGAGUAGUGUUGGCUUGUGGUAAUUUUGCACAUUAUAUAUGGGGAAACGGUGUGACAAUCUAUACUGAGCACCAGCCUCUUGUAUCCGUUUUUCACAGAAGGACCAAGUAUGAACGGAUGGAUUUUUGAAAUGCGGGGACAUACUUACAAGAUGAAAUACAUGAAGGGAAAGCAAAAUGUUGCUGCAGAUAUGUUAUGGAUACCAGUGUAUAAUGUGAAAGUAAUAACUGGAAAUUCUGAUAUUUUUGGUUUAAGUGUAGAAAAAUUUAAAAGUAAAGAAGGGGAGACAGAUAAAUGGAUGGCAGUAAUACAUGACUUAGAAGGUGAGCCCUUACCAGGAAACCUAAAGAAAAGUGUUUUGCCUAACUUUGAGUCAGAUGAAGGUCUGUUGUAAUAUGGCAAAAAGCGUAAUGAUGGCAGUAUCUGCUAUAGUAUAGUUGUAGCUAAAGAAUGAAGAGCUAAAGCAUGUAAGCUUUCACUUGAAAGGGUUGGACAUAUGAGUAUUAUAAAAAAAAAAAAAAUGAUUGUGAAGGUUUCUUUUGGGCACUGGGAAACCUCUUUCACAGUCAGUUGGUAAUUUCCCUCGGAUAACACGAGGUCUAGAGAGGAUGAGUAUUGAUGUAACAGAUAUGAAAAAAGGUGGAGACGGUCAUAGAUAUGUCCUCAGGUGCAUAGACCAUCAUUCCUGUUACGUAAAUCUUUAUCCAAUGAGAGGGAAAUGAGGUGGGAAGGUGGUGGUGAAGCUGAGAAACUACAUGACAGCAUAUGGCAGUCCAGAGAAGCUUGUUAGUGAUAAUGGGUGUGAAUUCUGAAACCGAGAGAUGUAAAGUUUAUGCAAAGAGGCAGGGAUCACUCAGCACUUGAUCACUCCAUACCAGCCUCAGAGCAAUGGUGUGGUAUAAAGAGUGGCUGGCUCAAUUAAACCCAUUAUUUGUAGUUUAGGAAAAGGGUUAGCGUAUCAGUGGCCCAAAUAUUUGAGUUGGUGUGCCAGGAGCUUAAAUGAAUGGGUACACAGUACCACAGGAACUACACCUUAUUGGGCAUUCUUCAAAGGUCAUCCUAAAAAGUACAUAGAGUUUAGGGUGGCAGAUCUUCCGGCAGACGAGGAAGGUUUGGAAUUGGCAGAGGACAGUAUGAAAGAACAGCGGGACAGAGCAGUAAAGACGUACUCACUCACAAACCAAAAAUGUGAAAAUUCAAAACAGGAAUGUGAAAUGUGGUAGUUUAGUGUGGGUAAAGAGAGAAGUGUUUGAUCCUUAUACCUCUGGUAAACUUUGUCACAAAUAGGUAGGACCAUAUGUAGUGGAAGUAGUGAUACGAGAGGGAGGUGCAUAUAUCCUUGGUGAUCCCAAAUCAGACAAAACUAUCAAAAGAGCAUCAGAUAAGGUCAAGCCUUGUUUAGGGACAGAUGCAUAGUUAAUUCCAGACAGUGUAAAGGUAGACUUCGACUCAGAAAGUGAAACUGAAGACUGAAAAAGAAUUAUGUUAGGAAACCUAGAGUGAGAAGGAAAGCUGAAAGACUAGGAAUAGACGUAUGAUUGUAAUGUGUAACUGUAGUGUGCCAACAAAAUACUGUGUAUAUAAGUUCUUGCAGAUGUACAAGAGAGGUGAAUGUGAGCCUGGCCUGCUGUGGAAGGAGGUUGCAGCAUGCCUGAGCUGGAGGUGGUCAUGACCGUGCACGUGGCGCCACCAGCUGUAGUAGCGGGCAUCUCAAGAUGGAGCAGCAUAGAAGAAAAGCAACUACUCCUAAGCUCUGUUCCAUGCCAGGCAGUGGUGAGGAAGGAAUAGGGGCAAGAUGACCAGGGAGUGAUCUGGCUGUCUUCUUGGGAACUACUCAGCGCACAGAGGAGGAUCUGGUCAAGUUUCCCCUCAUACAAAAGGUGGAGGAAGGAAGAGCGCAUAGAAAUGUCUGCAGUAUUCGAUGAAUUAGAGUGUCUUGAAGCCCUUGAAGACCUAGAUGCUGCAGACUAACAGGAUAUUCCCAGAAGGUGCAUCACUGACAGGAUGAAUCUUUUGCAUUCUCUGCAUGAUGAGUUCAUCAAAAGAUUUCGCUUAUCAAAAACAACAGCACUCAAUUUACUAGACAAGCUACAGAUUCAAGAAACUCGAGAUGGGAGGAUCACCAGUACCACCCCGCCUACAACUGUUAAUUACAUU